ensembl:lncRNA
GAAAUGUCUUUUGAAUGCUUUUGACUGCGUGCUGCGUCAUCUGCAGCGGUUCUGCAGCUUGAAAAAAAAAAAUGCUUCCCCUUUCCAUGAUGUAAAAUAAAAAUAAUUACAAUUCGUAUCUGUCCUCUUCACCACACCCUGCUCAUGUUGUACUUAGUCUGCCCCCUCUCCGCCCCCCCCCCCCCCCCCCCCCCGCCCCCUGCAGCCUUCUCCCACCUCAAAGGGCUGCAGCAGGUUUCAUGCAUCAGCCCCUUUCUCAGACACACACACACACGCUGUCACACAGUUCAGUCAGUCUCUCCGCAGCGUUCGGCACCUCAAACUUUAUUUUCCGGCUCACGACUUUGGAAACCAGCAACGCUGCGAGCGGCCUGCUCGCUUCCUGCCGCCGCAGAGAACGCAGCCGGCUUACAGUGGCAUAAGAUAAAGGCCAUAGACACACUUCCUGUCACGCCUGCAGUCUUCUUAGUUUAAACCCAACCAAUGGAUCUUCUGAUGAGAACUUCGCUUUAAAGUACAAGGACUUCUAACUUCUAUAAAGCCGACUUUCUCCUCUACUCUGAGAAGGCAUGACAGGCAUGACAGACAUGACAGACAAAAAGCCAACCGUGCUGGUCCUUUCGCUCUGUCUGAUCGGCCUACUUUUACUGCUGUUCUUCUUUUACAAGAUGUUGAACAGGGAGGCCAAGGGCGAGUACACCGUGCGCCGCCUGGUGUAUAGGGAUGGAGGGGUCAGGGACCGGGUGAGAGGCGCGUUGUUGGCCCUGGGGACGCGCCUCGGAGUCCGGCUGUGGCCCUGGAGCGACGCCGAUGAGGAUGGAGAGGAGAUGCGGGAAGGGGACGGCGAGGAGGACGGGGAGCAGUGCAGCACGUCAAAGGGAGAGGAAGACGACGGACAUCGUAGCUCAGACUACGAGAGUUCGGAGGCCGGCGAGCCAGACAGAGUAACGGAUCAGGGGGAAGCAGGAGGGACGGGGGAGAAAGUGGGAGAUGGGGAAUGUAAAGGUGAGGCGAGUGGGGGAGCCGGGGUGUUGAUAGAUCUGAAGAAGUUCUCUGGAAGUGCCAUCUGGUCUGAGGAAGAGGGUGGUGGGCGCAUGCUCAGUGACGUGACUGCACUUUGAGAACAGGAUAAAACGAAAUAUCAAAUUACAGGGGUGGCUUCGGACGUAGCAGCCGACUCAGGUCUCGAUUCUCCUUCAUUAGAUGUUAAAAAUAUUGUGAAUCGGUUUUUUUUAAUUGUCAAUUGAGGUCUAAAUGAUGUUCCACCCCCCCCCUAAAAAAACAAGAGACGCAUAUUGAUAUGCAGGAGAACAAUGUAUUGCAAUUUGAAUGUGUGUAAAUGUUUACCUGUAAAACUUUUCAAAUUAACUUUGUAUCAUCGUCAGCAUAUUGCAUAGUGUUUAUUGUGGAUUUUUAAAACUUUAAAUGUCUAAUUUACAUGACAAUAAAAACUGACUGUGCUUGUAUCCUU